rnacentral:rRNA from 1 species
UACGAGGGGUGCAAGCGUUGCUCGGAAUUAUUGGGCGUAAAGGGUAGGUAGGUGGUCUCAUUUGUCUGGGGUGAAAUCCCGGGGCUUAACCCCGGAAGUGCCCCAGAAACGGUGAGACUCGAGUCCUGGAGAGGGUCGUGGAAUUCCCGGUGUAGCGGUGAAAUGCGUAGAGAUCGGGAGGAACACCAGCGGCGAAGGCGGCGACCUGGACAGGUACUGACACUCAACUACGAAAGCGUGGGGAGCAAACAGG